GCUGAGUUGCUUUAAUUCCCAUUGCCCAUUUCAAAUACUUCACUACAUUUCUUUACGUUUGCUACAUUCAUUUGAUUUUCACUCCUUAAAAUAGUACUUAUACAAGUUACCGCAAGCCAUUAAAACUAUAAUAGUGACUUUCAAAAUAAAUUGGCGCCAGCUGUUUGACGGCUCCUGUAACAGUAACCAACGUUGAAAUAACAGCUGUGUCGAAGCGCGCGCCGCACAGAACAGAAGCGGUAAAUGAACAGCGUAAACAAGUAAAGAGUAAACGAACCGCACGCAGUCAGACGGAGGUUCACUGGGAACAAACCACGGGUAACUGUCGUUGCUGCCCACGAUCCAGCAGAGGAAGGCUCGUUUUCACUCUUUGCAGAACUUGGCGGACGUGAACCUGCAGGAUGCUCCAUGGACUCGGCCCCAAGGAGACGGCUCUGCCCAGCGUCUGGAUCACUCCUGAGUCUGGAAAAACUCUGCCAGAGAAGGAUUUCUUGUCGGAAAGAGGUCGAAGCGGUGGGCUGUUGUUUCUGGGCUUCCCAGGUGUCGGGGACACCUCCAAUCUACUCAUUGAUUGGAUCUCUGCAUCUGGAAUGUCUCUACAUUGACCUCCCAGUCCAUGUUUGCAAGAUGUUAGAGCCUUAAUUGAUGUCACCCACGUUUCUUCUCAUACAUUUUUUCAUAAUAUAGUCAUGUUGUUUCAACACAACCACUGUAUUUCAGCUUUCAGUUUCAAAUUGGUUUCUUUUUUUUCAAACCGACUAAACCCAUGUGCACAUGUGGCUCCAUGGUGCUAUGGUCUAUUUGAACAGCCGCUUCUAUUUAAGAUGUUAACUUCUUAUUGUAGUCUACAGCUGUGUAGUUUAAAUUAAAUACUUUUCAAAGUCACAAGGAGUUGCAGCAGAGAGACCAAAAAGCUGACCAGAGCUGCAGGUUGAUGACCCGUCUUUAGACCAGAGGACUGAGAGCUGACAACUGAACUGAGGGCAGAGAAUCACAGUUUGGUUCUGACAGUUUAGUGUCACUCAGUCUGAAAGACAUUCUAUACAAACAAGACAACCGUUAGUUUUUUAUUUGUUGCCCUUUUUAGAAUAAUGGUACGGAAACACACACACACACACACACACACACAUGGACACACACACACACAAAUCAAUGCAGUCUCACCAUUGACAUACAGUAAUGCUUUCCCCAGCCCCUUACUUAAAGCUUAACCAUCACAAAUAUUUAAUUAUAUAUAUUAUAUUAUUAUGUUAUGAAUAUAUUUAAUUCCUAAAGUAUUACACUUUUCACUCAUAUCACAAAACACAAGUGAAAUUGUUUAUUUUGUAUUUUAACUUCAAGACAACUAUGCAAAAGACAAAUUACAAAUCUAAUCGGUGCGGUGCCUGGGAGCUGGUGCUCUAAGUGUCUUACUCAAGACACACUUGGUGCGCUGGUGGUCUUUAAACCUGGGACCUCCCACUCCCCAGGCCAACGCUCUACCAACUGUGCCACCAAGUUUAUAAAAGAAUAGAAUAGAAUAGAAUAGAAUAGAAUAGAAUAGAAUAGAAUACCUUUAUUGUCCCGCAAUGGGGAAUUUACUAUGUACAACAGCACAAAGACAUAUAGACAUAUAUACAGAAGAAAUGAAUAAAGCAUAAUAAUAAUAAUAAUAAUAAUAACACAAUAAUUAUAAGAAUUUAGAAAUUAGAACUUAGAACUCCACAGGUUAUCAACAUUAUGUAUACAAUGAGGUAAGGUGACUGCACCAAACAAAGUGAGUAAGAUAUUAAAGUGACUGGUGCAAUGUUUAAUGUUUAAUGUGUAAUGUAAUGUCAAUUCAUCUUAUAAUGUCAGAAAAACAUUUUCAUUUCUCUUUUAGUAGAGUAUUUACCUUCUUACUUUCAUUUAAUCUUCAUGCAUGUGUGCAGGAGUCUUGUCAGGAUGCGCCGUGUGCAUUAAGAGUUACGUGACCUGGAUCUCUUUAAUAGAAGCUAUAGAUGGCCAUUCAUUGGUCAAAGAGUCAAAACUUAAUCUCCAUUCUGACAAACACAUGUUUGGGCCGUACUUAUUGAUCCCUGUGGUCUGACCCAGUGACUGUCUGUCUUUCAUUCUAACGUUGAUAAAAUAAAAAAUGAUUAGAAAACUAGUACAAGCUGUUAAAACAAAACACUUGAAAACAACAUAGCUUGAAAUAGUUUCACUGAAAUGAAGUGUUGACAUUUGCUGAUACCUAGUGGCAAACAAAUAUAUUACAUGAUCCAUGGUUUCUCCAGUAGUCUUAGGGUUGCAGUCAAUUAUACAAAUUUCGUACAUAAGAACCGAUUUUUCUUUUUACCAAAAAGCCUUUUAUGUCACUGUAAGUGUGCUUUUGUUAUUCACAGUUUAAAUAAUUUAUAACUGUUAUAUAUUAACAAUGUGGCAUAGAUGUAGAUCUGCCUGUCCCAAGUGCCUGAAGGAACAAUACUAAUGGUCUCUUCUACCUGCUAGUGUCUGACUUUUUAAUCAGUGAUCAUUACUAGAGACUUCAUUUGUGUCUCUUUUUCCCCUGUGUGUGUUAUCCAUAUGAAUGCCAUGGUAUAGACUGAAAGCUGGCUGAGAAGGAAGGCUGGAGCCUGGUGUGGCUCUCCUAUCUUCAGUACAGUACUGUAUGUGCAUGUCAAAGGUCACCUACACUAGGUAGGCUGAAAAUGGAGGAGAAGGGCGAUUGGUCAUUUAGCAUUUUUCACUUAUCCAAAAGCAUGUGAUGGUGGAAAAUGGUCCCCUAAAAUUGAUUUUACGGGGCCUGCGUUGAGUCUGAAGAACUGUGUGUCGCCUCAUCUGUGUGCACUGGAGGGGCAGUGGGUGGGUCCUGGCAUGGUAUGAAUGUUUAAGAAGGGCAGUGGGGGGCUAGCUGUGUUCAGUGAGGGAGAGAUAAAGGCAAAGGAGGCAGGCUGAAGACUGGCAUGUCUGUGAAUGUGAAAUGUCAUAAAAAUAAACA